GCAUUCGAACUGGUCAAGUUGAUUUGGGUUCGGGCCAAGAACAAACCUACAAACAUUUGUUUUUUUUUUUGGUAGCAACGUUCGUUCUCUCUCUGAGGACUACAUCUUCCGACUACGAAAAUUUGUUCCCUCUCGUGUUACACAAGCAUCAAUCGAGAAAGAAAGAAGUGGACAAAGAACGAUAGAUUUAUGUGCUUGCAAAUAGUA
rnacentral:lncRNA from 1 species